ensembl:lncRNA
CUUCGGUGAAGUCUGCUGUCAAGUUACUGGACACGUGGUAUUUGCACAACACUUCUGAAUCCGCAGCUUCGGUGUUUUAAGGCUGUUUCGAUAUGGAGAAGAAGUGGGAAGAGAUUUACGCGUUUAUUUCUGCUGGCUCCUACCCUUCAGGAUAUGACAAGGCUCAAAGGCAAAACCUCAGAAGAUAUGCCUCAAAAUUCAAACAAAAGGAUGGAGAACUCUUUGUUGGAACCAGAAGAGUAGUAAAAACCAUGGAUGAUGCCAGGAAGAUAUUUCAUGAGUUUCAUUCAUCUCCAAUUGGAGGACACACUGGCAUACACAAAACGCUCAGUGCAGUGUGUUCCAGAUUUUACUGGUUUGGUAUGACAGUUGACAUUAAAACAUGGGUAUGUAUUAACUGUUUGCAUUGUUGUUAAAUGCCGUUUAAAAUAAGCAAUUUUUUUUUAUAUUAGUUAAAAGAGAAACUGUACAUUUGCAAAAUAUAAAUAAAUAUGGUUAAUUAGUGAUAUUACAGUAUUAACCUGUAGGCCUGGCAGAGAUUUGAAGACACACACAAAGUAUUGUUGCUAAAUUGUUUGUUCGUUAGAGAAUAUGUCAUUAAGUGAUUUUUUUUUUUAUUAUUAUUAUUAUUUUAAUAAAUGAGAAUGUUGAACAUUUACGUGAACUCCAUAAAUUUUUUUACCUUAAAGAUUCUGGAAUGUGAUCAGUGUCAAAAAGUUGGGAAACCACUGACUGCUGUGCAACCGUUGCAGUGUAUUCAGGUGUCUGAAGUGUGGGAACUUAUUGGUAUAGAUCUUACUGGACCUCUUCCUAAAACGUCAAGCGGCUUCCAGUAUAUACUUACUGCAACUGACUACUUUUCAAAAUGGGUUGAAGCUUUCCCAUUAAAAACGAAAUCUGCAUCUGAGGUAGCCCAGCACUUGUGCUCCAUUAUAUAUAGACAUGGCUGCCCCAAAAGGAUUUUGUCAGACCAAGGCAGAGAGUUUGUGAAUGAAGUAAGUGUUAAAUAAUUUUCAGUUACAUUUUUUAACUUUACUUCACUGGGGUCAAAGAUUUUUUUCUUGUGUGCUUGUAUAAGAAGUAUAAGAACCUUGUCCUUAUCUGUUGAAGCUCAACUCUAAUCUUUGCAAGUUAUUGCAAACUGAAAGAAGUGUCACAGCAGCAUACCAUCCACAGACCAAUGGUCUAGAUGAAAAGACCAAUGACAACAUAAAAAGGUAUGCCUAAUUUUUAUCUAUCAGUUUUUAAUAACAUUACUUAUGUUAUUCAAACUUAAUUGUUACUUAAUAAUUUAUUAAUUUCUUUACUUCUAAUUAAACUUUCAUUAGUGUCUUUACAUAUUUCUAUGCCUGCAUUUAGAGCCCUCCGAAAACUGGUGAAUGACCAGCAGAAUAACUGGGAUCUGUAUCUAGAUCCCACCCUGUUUUCACUGCGGUCAAAAGUACAUACCACAACAUUUUACUCACCUUUUUUUCUGAUGUAUGGAAGAGAGGCAGUAUUUCCAUCAGAAGUGCCUGCUCAAGUGCCGGUGAGUGUUUGUCAAAUUCUUUCUAUGUUAGAACUAAGAAUUGAAACCAUUUAAGUAAAAAACCCAGUAAUGUCUUUAUGAAUAUGAUAUCAUCUUGUUUUAAUUGCUGAUAUCUACAAAAUUUUAGAUUUCCAACAUCAUUCUGCCAGACGACAAAAGGUACAGUGACUAUGUACAGUCUGAAAGUGAAGCACAACAUGCAGUUAAAGAAACUGCACAAGAAAACAUUGCGAAGUCACAAGACAAGCAAAAGGUUGCAUACGCCGAGCGGGUCCUGAAAAAGUGCAAAAAUGUUGUGUACAAUGUAGGCG